rnacentral:lncRNA from 1 species
AUGAACAGGACUCACCUUCAGUCACACAGACCAGGAAACAAAGACUCAGCAGUGACGCAGCUGAACAGAGAAACCUUCUUCUUGCGUGAGGACAAACGGACGAGCAGAGCAGCCACACAAGAAGGACGAGGGUUUGACUUCCUGUCACCAGGAACUGAUCUGAGAUCAGACCUCACGUCGGCGGGUGUGAAGAUGGAGGCCACGCCUACGGUCUUCCCACCGGAGGAGGUGGAGGUGGAAUCAGGGGUGGAGUCUGUCCAGCUGCCCUUCAUAACCACAGCUGACCUGCCUGAAGACAUCACAGUGAAGUGGAUGAAGCUAGAGAACGACAAAGUAAAAGGUGAGAUGGUCCAUGUGUAUCAGAACGGCUCUGACCAACUUGAAGAACAGCACGGGUUUUACAGAACCAGAACAGAGAUGAAUGAAGACCUGCUGACAACUGGAGACCUCAGUCUGACCCUGAAACAUCUAACAGUCACAGACACAAACACCUUCAUCUGCAAAGUCUACAGGGAGGGAAGAGUCUGGAAGGAGAAAGAAGUGAAGCUCUCGAUCAGAGUCCCACAGGUGGAGGUGGAAUCAGGGGCGGAGUCUGUCCAGCUGCCCUUCAGAACCGGAGCUGACCUGUCUGGAGACGUCAGAGUGGAGUGGAAGGACAGCUGGAAGAACAGGAAGGUCCAUGUGUAUCAGAACGGCUCUGACCGACCUGAAGAACAGGACGAGUUUUACAGAAACAGAACAGAGAUGAAUGAAGACCUGCUGAGAACUGGAGACCUCACUCUGACCCUGAGACAUCCAAGAAGCUUAAAUGGAAACAUAAGAACCUUCACCUGCAAAGUCUACAUCCAACAGCAGGAGGUGAAGGUGGAAUCAGGGGCGGAGUCUGUCCAGCUGCCCUUCAUAACCACAGCUGACCUGCCUGAAGACAUCAGAGUGGAGUGGAAGGACUGGAACAACAGGAAGGUCCAUGUGUAUCAGAACGGCUCUGACCGACCUGAAGAACAGGACGAGUUUUACAGAAACAGAACAGAGAUGAAGAAAGACCUGCUGAGCCCUGGAGACCUCAGUCUGACCCUGAAACAUCCAACAGGCAGAGACAAAGGAACCUUCACCUGCACAGUCUACAGCAGGCGGAUGGAAAAACAAAUGAAGAUCCAUUUCUAA